rnacentral:misc_RNA from 1 species
UCCCGGAUAAUACAGUGAUAAACCCACAAAGCUCAGAUGCUAUACUGCUUGCACUUUGGCCAGAAUAAUCCUUGAACAUUAUAGCGCUAGCAAGUAUUGUAAAAGAUGUGAACAUGGCAUAAUAUAUUGGAGAAACAAUUGCUGUGUUGAAAGUAUCCAAUGCCAUGUUUAGAUAAUUUAAUUGAGUGAUGAUACAGGUAAUUGCAACCAUUGCAAAAACCCAUGUCUGGAAAUAUUUUGCCUGGUUUAUGCCCUCCAAUGUUAGUUCUAUUGCAAUACCAAUAGCUUUUAUGCUCAUAACCGUCAAUGAUCCAAUUAUGGAGCAUAUUCCUAUAUAGAUGAUGAUGUUGGUCUGGCCAUAGCGGGGAGCACAAUACAAGAUCAAUACAAAUGCUACAGCUACAAC